rnacentral:tRNA from 1 species
GUAAGUAUAGCUCAACUGGUAGAGCACCUGUCUGGUGAGCACAAGUCCCUGAGUUCAAACCCCAAUAUUAUG